rnacentral:rRNA from 1 species
CCUACGGGGAGCAGCAGUGGGGAAUAUUGGACAAUGGGCGAAAGCCUGAUCCAGCCAUGCCGCGUGUGUGAAGAAGGCCUUCGGGUUGUAAAGCACUUUCAGUGGGGAAGAAAGCCUUGGGGCUAAUACCCUCGAGGAAGGACAUCACCCACAGAAGAAGCACCGGCUAACUCCGUGCCAGCAGCCGCGGUAAUACGGAGGGUGCGAGCGUUAAUCGGAAUUACUGGGCGUAAAGCGCGCGUAGGCGGUCUGAUAAGCCGGUUGUGAAAGCCCCGGGCUCAACCUGGGAACGGCAUCCGGAACUGUCAGGCUAGAGUGCAGGAGAGGAAGGUAGAACUCCCGGUGUAGCGGUGAAAUGCGUAGAGAUCGGGAGGAAUACCAGUGGCGAAGGCGGCCUUCUGGACUGACACUGACGCUGAGGUGCGAAAGCGUGGGUAGCAAACAGGAUUAGAUACCCUAGUAGUC